CUAAUAGUAAAAUAAACUCAGGUAGCGUCAAUUAAAUAUGUCCUGGAAACACCCUGAAACUGUACUUACUGUAACGGCCGAGGGUUGCUGAAAAGUGUCAAGGAUUAUAGGACUCCAAUGGCUAGGAGUUUUUUUUUGUCUGACUGCAGCAGCUGCUUUAGAUCUGUAAACAUCUGAAGAUGAUCUACCAGGUUGUGAUCAGUGGGAUAGACGGGCAGAAAACCACGAUUGACCUCUGCAACACAGAGCAGGAGAUGAAGACAGUAACGGUGGAUCAGCUGAAAGAAAAGAUAUUUGAGAAGUUGUCUUGGUUGCCAGGACAUGCUAAAAAGGACCUACGGUUGAUCUUUGCGAGCAACAGACUGGAUGACGACACAAAGAGGCUGUUUGACUAUGGAAUCAGACACAAGUCCUACAUACAGAUGGUUUUAAGCUUAGAUGGUGGAAGAGGCCCUGAAGUGGAUUUUACUGAUGAUGGGGUUCAUAACUCCUGUCUUUUCACAUCUACAGGUUUAUAACUUCAAACAGACCUUAUUCUGUGGUGUUGAUAUCAUCCAUUUAUGUAAGUUUUCAUCUACACUAAACUGAACACAAAUAGACAAUAAACUAACACACUGAAAAACUGAUGAUUAAAACAACUAACAUGUAAGGAUUGUGUUGUAAACAGCCGAUAUGUUCUUAGACAACAAACAUUGUGAUAGUGCAUUAAUAAAACAUUACAGACAUUCAAAUAAGUUGGUUUUUAUAUAAUUACUAUCUGGAACAUCAAACAGUUCUGACAGGUUUUUUACAGUGGCUGCAGACGAAGUGCUUUUUCUAUUCAGGGCUUAAAUUGCUCAGCAAAACAACCUCAGCUGUUUGAUGCAAACAUCACCUUAUAAACUCCAUGAUAAUCCAAUAAUACACGUCAAACAUGGUUCAGACUCAUAUUACAAACAUUUCAUAUUCAUUCUGAAAAUGUAUCUUUACCUUUCUGCUAUGAGCAGCGCCACCAAGUGGAUGGAUGCAGACAGUGAGGCUCUUAGUGCAAUAACACAAACUGAUCAACAUUAAACCAGAGAGGGACUUUAAUUCAGCAGCAACUAAACAUGUAAACAUCAACAAAGAAAUAGAGAGAAAAUUCAAGAGAAGUGUAGAGCGUGGGUGAAAUUUGAUGCCUUAGUGACACAGAAAGGUUGAUGCAGAUGGUAUUUUUGAAAGUUUGUGGGGCAGAGGAAUGACUAUUGAGAUCAUUUUAUUGCAUGUUUUUUGAAACCCUCAACAUAUCAUAUUCUUCAGCUGGGUAAAGGAGUUUGACAAAUAACUGCAAAUUGCCACACGUUAAAGUUUCCCAAAAGCCAAUCAAAUUUGGAAGAGAAUAACACACAUAAUUACUCUGAUUACGAUUUAACCACGACAGAUUGGGGUUUGCAGCCGGGUUUGUCUGUCCUUCAUUUUGUCCUUCAUCUUGUGAACCGAUACCUGAAAUUUAUAUUAGAAAGUAUUGACAAACUGGACCCACUGUAAAGUAUUAAAAAGUCUGAUUUCUACUUGCUUUUCCUCCUGUAAAAAAGAAGGUGGACACUUUGAGAUCUGGUGAAGAAAGUGAAGUUAGUUUAUGAUAAACAGUGAAAAUAAACAGAAGAACAAAACUGGACAGGCGCUUACUUCUCAAACUUUCUCUGGACUCUGUUGUUAUCAAGCUGUUAUAAAAGAAACAACAACAUAUCAAACUGGCAUUGUGUUGUUAUGACAAAGAGAA